ACAGUCGGCAACCCCUGUGGUAUAUUCAAGAGGGCCAAUCGUACUGCUUUUAAAUUGCUGGAGUCAGCACCUUUAAUUCCUUAAUCAUAAUAAAUAAUAUUUCUAAUAAAUUAUGAACCAUUUCAAUACAAGAGGGGAAAUGACAUACCGUUCACCGUCGAUGGUGAAUUGUUUUCAGCAGAGCUUAAUGCAGACAUUGAUGCCGUCAUUUCACGAAUGAACAACCUUCUUCUUUUUCUUGGAAGUAGGUUUCUCCCCUUAGUAUUUUCUCAAUGUACUUCUCUAAUGGGUAAGAUUAGUACGUUACUGUAAAGGGGGGACCUAGUCUCCUUUAAUAACACAAUGCCUAUCUCCCAUUAAGGUAGGCCAAUCAAUUAAAGAAAAAUUCUUUCCUAUUUGCAACCAAACUAAUCUGGUGGAUAUCCUUAAUAGAAUCCAAGAUAAUUUGCAAUCAAAUCAAAUAUUGGGUUUCCAUAAUAUAACUCAAUCAAUGGUCAAUUGGGACAAAUAAGGAAAUAAAUCCUACAACCACAACUUAUAAAGAUACCUCUCAAUACUUUAUUUAGCAAAUAUCUAAUUAUGCAAAUUAAAAGCCAUCUAUAAACUCAGGGACAGAGAGACUAAAGAAAAGAAAUUUGAAAAUUUGUCGACAAAACUGAGCCCUAACUAUUUACUUUGUGGACCUGAUGUCUCCAUGUCUAUUUACUUUGGUUAUGGAGCUUUUAUCUAUCAUGUUGAGGAAUCUUGCCCGAGAGAAAAAAAAUUCAAUUGAUGCAUCAUCUUAAGAUUCUUCUUUUGUCCCAUCUUAUCUUCAUUGAUGAUCUUAUGAUUUGCAUUAAGGCAGAUCACCCAUCAGUCUCAGCAAUCAUGGGUACGUUUGAGAACUUUUAAGCCCUCUCAGGACUUCAUAUUAAUUAAUAAGGACAAAUCCUCCGUCAUAUUAGGGGGGAGGCUCUCAAGUUGCCCAUCAUGAGCUUUUACAGUUGAUUGGGUUCACUGAAGGUCAUCUUCCUAUUCGAUAUCUGGGUAUUCUGCUCAUCUUUGGCAAGUUGCGAGCAGUGGACCGUUCUCUUAUAUUUGAGAUUGUGAGAAGAAAAUUGGAAGGAUGGAAGAGUCGAGUUUUAUCUCAUGUUGAGCAUCUUCAACUAAUCAACUCCAUUCUCCAAGGUUUAUCUCUAUUGAUCAAGUAUUUUCAGUCUCCAAGGUUUGUUAUUAAGAAAUUAGAAUCUGUACAUGUUUGCUAGAUUUCUAUAGCCUGAUCCAAGCUUGAGUUGAAAAGUUCACUUUAUUGUUUGGGAUAUGCUUUGUAAACCUAGGAGGUGGAUUGAGUAUCUAACGCAUCAAUAUGAACAUUGUAGUUAAUUCGAAGAAAUUUUGGUGGAUAGCCUCAAAUGAAGAUUGCCUUUGGGUUAAGUGUCAUAGACACCUCAAAUCUAACUCCUUGUGGGUGGCCAAAAUCUUUAACAAUUACUCUUGGGUAUGGUGUAAAGUUCUAAAAUAUAGAGAGGGUUGAGUAGUUUAUUAUUCAUCGUAUUGAUAAUUGGAACUCUACGAGGCUUUGGCUUGACCCUUGCACCCAGCUGGGGUCCUCAUCAACCGGUUUAGUGAUCGUAUUAAUAUGAUCCGAUUUUAUUUAAUCCAUCCUAUUAGAUGGCAACUGGGACUCUAGCCCGAUCGUAUCUAUUGAUCUCUUGGAAGUGUGGUCUAACCUCCAUUAUAUUCAGCAGUUGGAUGCUAGUGAACCGGCGGAUAGAGUUAUUUGGAUGGGCUGCCUCUCAGGGUCUUCUCUUCCUAGUCCUCUUGGAACAUUUUUCCACAUCAAGGUCUGAAAGUUGUAUGGACCGUGCUGUUUGGUUUAAGAAAAAUAUUCACCUCUUGGCACUGCUUGGUUGGUGCUCUCUCCACAGCCAAUCAACAUUUUAUGAGAACGAUCAUGGUACCUCCUUAGUGCUGGUUUUGCUGAGCAGGGUUGGAAAGUAAGGGUCACUUAUUUUUCCAAUGCUCAUUCACUACAAAGAUGGGGUGACAUCUUGAUUGAUUGUCCAAAAUAUGCUCCAUUCCUCUUCUGUGUUGUCAGAGGCAACUUGGGUAGCAACAACUUUUGGUAGGGACAACAUUGGAGAUAAAUUGAUCUUUUGCUCCAUCAUAUAUCAUAAAUGGGCUGAGAGAAAUUCCAGGAAAUUUCAGAACAAAACUAGGGCCCACCCUCUCAUUGUUCAAGAUAACAAGGUUGAUGUUUUUAACACUUGUAAGGAUGUGAUCCUCAAAAAGGAAGAAUCUACCUCUAAUGUGUUCCUUAUCCGAAACUGGGGCCCCAUGUGCUUUGGAACCAAAAUCUAAAUACUUUGUUUACUUAGUGUGCCCCUUGGGCUGACUUUGCUAUUCUAGGGCUCCUUGAUCCCUUGAGGUUGUCUUUGAGAUCUAUGGUGUUGCGUCUAGUUUUCUUGUAUAUUCUUCUUCUCCUCUUCCCUUCUUUGCAAUAAAUUUGAUACCCAUUUUCUAAACCUUAGCGUUUAUGGUUCCACAGCCACAGGAUCACUUGCAUAUUGGAGCAAAACCUAUGCAAGUUCACAGAACACGACAUUUGAGAGGAAAGGAGAGAUCUACUUGGGAGUGCUGCUGCAAUUGCAAUGGACGAAAGCUUGUCAAAAUCGAACUGGAACCAUUUAUCCAAACAGAACCAAAUCCAACCCCAAGGGGGUAGCCGAGUUGGAACCAUAGGGCCAUCAACAAAGCAUGUCAUAGCCUUGAAGGACUCAUGGUGAACAUCAAGACCUGUGGAAAUACCCUGUGGCAUUGCAGGAAGCGAGGGCUAGCUGUAAAUUCAUGAAUCUCUGCAGGUUGCCAGAGAUAUACUGCUGUAUGAUUCAGUCUGUCCUCCUCACCCCCCGCAACUCCCCAAUACUCACUCCCUCCCCUCUCCCUGUAAACUAAAAUGAUUACCAUCAAAGAGAAGCUAGAAGCCUAGAA